AGUGAACGCUGGCGGUAGGCCUAACACAUGCAAGUCGAACGGCAGCACAGUAAGAGCUUGCUCUUACGGGUGGCGAGUGGCGGACGGGUGAGGAAUACAUCGGAAUCUACUUUUUCGUGGGGGAUAACGUAGGGAAACUUACGCUAAUACCGCAUACGACCUACGGGUGAAAGCAGGGGAUCUUCGGACCUUGCGCGAUUGAAUGAGCCGAUGUCGGAUUAGCUAGUUGGCGGGGUAAAGGCCCACCAAGGCGACGAUCCGUAGCUGGUCUGAGAGGAUGACCGGCAACACUGGAGUUGAGCAGCGGCCAGGCCCCCAGGGGGGGGAAGAGGGGGGAAAUAUGGAAAAAGGGGCGCAAGCCUGACCCAGCCAUACGGGGGGGGUGAAGAAGCCCUUGGGUUUUAAAACCUGUUUGUUGGAAAAAAAAAAGCAGCGGGUAAACCCCCCGCUGUUCUGAGGUAACCAAAAAAAAAGGCCCGGGCUACCUUCGUC
rnacentral:rRNA from 1 species